AAAGGUGUAAAACAUGAGGGGAAGGACGGGACAAGCAGACAGCGAGAUCAAUGAAUCAUGGGCAUCACGGAUGUAGAGCUGAGGUAAAGCACAGAAGACCAGAAGCAGAGUCAAGCCAGGAGGACGGGCUGAUGGGGACAGGCUCAGAAGAUCAGGCUGAAGGGACCAGAUCGGCCGUCUGGACCCUCGCGGGGUUGGUUGAGCAAAGAGCCCACCAAUCAAUGUUCACGUGGCCCCAAGGGACUCUGUUCACCCUUAGGAACCAUUCCUGGUAGCGUAGAGCAGUCUCAAGCUCUUUCUUCCCCUCACUGGCUGGGAAGGAGGAGCUCAUCCGCUUUGGGCAGGGGUUUAGCCGAGAAGGCAAGUGACAAACAAAAGCUAGACAAAUCUAAUCUAAUCCUCUGAUUUCCAGAUGAGGAACCUAAGAGAGCCCCCACAUCUCACAACCUGUUGGUGCCCCCAGAGGUCCUAAAUCCCAGCUCUGGACCCUUUCCACCAUGGCUCACGUUACUCUCUCAUCAGUUCUCUACCCUGGGAUGGUAUUUCUUCUCAUCUGACCUGGGCAGGCGGGACUAUGCUUUUCCAUUUAAAAAACAGCAAAACAAAGGUGACUCCUUCUACAUCCUAUCCAUGUUUCUCCUUUCCAACUAACUCUGUAGAGCUCAGAGGACAGAGGACGGCCUCACACUUUGCACCCAUGACUCUCUUGGACUGAAUGGUAUGCAAGACAAGCCCUAGCUGAAGAAACAACGGAGAUCAAGGAACAAACAAACAGACAACAGAUUCCUGAACCUGGCUUUCACAUGGCCCCAGGCCGCUUUCCUGACCUGGUGUCCUCCAAUUUCUUCCAUGCCCCGGAAGUUCCAGACAAACCAACCAGACCUCGUUCUCCUAGACACAGCAUACCCUCGAUUCACGCCAUUUCCCCUUGGAAUCGCCUUCUGUUCUCAGCUCACUCACCUCGCUGAAAAAAAACCCACUUAACUUUCGAUGUCCAAGCCAACGCCAGCUCCUCCAAUGCCGACCCUCUUUCAGGCAGAAUUAGCUGUUCCCUCUUCUACACCUUCCCAGCAUUCUAUUCACGGGGCUAACCUACUGACCAACAGUUUGGGCAUACGCACCGCAUCUUUCCCCACUCUUACGUUUUGACAUCUCCUCCAGCCCUGGACUGAGAGCAAGCAUUUAGCAAGUAUCUGUCAAGUGGCAGACCCUUCUUGAAUGUUCCAGAAUAAGUUGAGAGGACUCCAUGUCCCUCUCAGCUGUGUUUCCAGGAAAGGACGGAUUGAGCCUUUUUCAGGGCUACACCCCCCCCCCAACCUUAAGUGAUGUCCUGUAUCUAUCCUGGUAUUUCAGUGUGAUUAGUCAAGUCACCACAAACGAGAAUCUGUCACUGUCCUCAUUUCCGGCUCAUUUACAUGGUCCGACACCAGCCACUUUGCUCCUCUCCAGUUGUCCCAAUAUGUUCACCAGAUUGGCAUGUAUCAUACUAACCUUUCCCAGGAGUAAAAAUAAAAUAAAAUAAAAUUAGAUGAGACACAGAAAUAAAAUUCUCAGAUAAAUUAAAAGUAAUGCCUACUUAUGUGACAAGUUCUAUUCGAAACUGAGGGUUGGGUCACUGUUCAAUGCAAUCAGAGUACACAGGCCUACUGAGUAAUGAAAACUUUUAACAUUACUUUCCCCACAACUGAAGAAUUUUUGAAAUUUUGUUUUUAAAAAAUACACCACAAAUACCAGGCCGUUUAUAAGCAUAAACUCAAUCUCACCUUAUUAUUAAAAGUUAUGGAGACACUGCAUGGUAUGUUUUAUUUUACGCAGUAAUAACUACCUUGUUUUUUAAAAGCAUAAACAUGAUAAAACCUCCCUUUUUCUCCAUAUUUAAAUAAAAUCAUACACAUAACCUUAUACAAGUUUAUAAACGGCUCCACCAUUUUGAAUGCUGAGGCACAACUUAGUGGCCACCAUCAUUCAAAACAUCGUUAGCUCCCGAGCAACCAAGGAGAUCAUUUUUCUAGAAGUUGGGAAAUCGCAUUAACUUGUGUUAAAUAAAAAGGAAAAGCUCACCAUGAGUCACAGCACACAGACAGGGAGGAGGGCAGAAAGCACGGUAGCCAUCAUAAUAUAUCACAAUAGCAGAGAUGUCAAAAAAUUUUAGAGUUUCCUUCC